GGAGUUUUAUAGGAGGAGAUUCACUGGAUCAUUUGCUUCCUUGGAUUUUUAGGGUUUUGUUAUUUCUAUGCUCUGUCUUAGGAGAAUGGCUAGUUGGCCCAAAGGAAAGUUGGAGAGGGAUUUGCAGAUGGUAGCAUUACCGUAGGAGCCGCCUACAAAAACCAGUGCUCUCCCGCCGCUGCCGCUAACCUCUACUUCUGCUGCUGGGGCAGUAUCCAACGCCCUGGUGGAGUACAAGAAAGGCACCGGUCUGAAGGAGGACGACGAAGACCUGGAGGUGAAGCUGCGUCAGAUCAUUGACCACGUCCCUGUUCGUGUCAGCAACACUUCCAGCAGCUCUGCAGGUUCCGGCUCUGGCAACUUCCACCAGGUCUUUGCAUCCGUUCAGGCAGAACAAACCAGUCAAUCUCCUCAUAUUGCAUAUUGCAGAUUAUGAUGAUGAUCCAUGGAAGCCUUUGAAUCCCCAUGAACCCGGGGACUUGAAAGUAAAACCAUUUAAAAAAGGUUCUGACAUGAGUCUUGGACUUCUGUUUACCUGAAUGCAGUAAAUAGAAAAUGCUAUUGC